GGAUUUAUGCCUGAACGCUAUAGGGCCACUUUGAUAGAGUGAAUCACGGGGGUUCAACUCCCCCUAAAUCCU
rnacentral:tRNA from 1 species